rnacentral:rRNA from 1 species
AUGAAGAGCCUGUGUUAUAUGAUCUCAGUGAGCCACCCAUCUAUGCUGUUGAUGAAGAAGGGAGUUGCCUUUGAAAGUCAGAGUAGCAGCUGCAGUUUAGUAGCUCAUGGUACUGGUGUUUGCACACAAGAGAGCAAGAAUGUAAAAGGAAAACUGAAAGCUGUUUUGGAAAUAGAAGAAGAAGAGGGAUAUGAUGGCAGUGGUGGUUCUGAUUGUGAAGGUGAAGAUGACAGUGAUGUAAACCCUUUUUAUAUGGGUGAUGCUGAUGACAUAGAGAUGGAUGAGGGAAAGAAACAGAGAGAGUAUGAUGAAGUAGAAGAGGAAGAAACAGAUGAUGAAGAAUCUGAGGAGGAAGAAAUGGUGCAUUACUCUGGUGACACAGAGGUUGAGGAACCUUUUGAAAUGGAUGAAGAUGACAAGGUUGUUUCACAGGAUGAAGAAACUGUAAUUGUACAUGAAGAGAAGAAGAAGAAGAAACAGAAGCUUCCAGUUAGGAAAGGGCCUACAACAAGGACACAUUCAAGUGUAGUUCAAGAGGAGGAACCUGAUUUCCAACCUUCAUCUGAUGAAGAAGAGAAAGAAUUGUUGAAGGAGGCUGAUGAUGAUGGUUAUGAGCCAUUGUCAUUUGUGCUGCCAAAGAAAAGGAAGAGCAGGGCAAAGCAGAGGCCUCCUAGAAAAUGGUACAAUGAGAAAAUGGAGGCACCACAUGAGCAAUUAUGUCUACAGAUGUGUUUCAAGGAUCAACAUCAAUUCAGAGAGGCUUUGUUGAACUUACACAUCACUCAAGGCAGAAACUUCAAAUAUCAUAGGAACUCAGAUCAAAGAAUAAUUGUAGAAUGCAACCAAAAACAUUGCAACUUCUUUAUGGUGGCAGCAGUUAUAAAAGGUGAAACUACUUUUGUAAUUAAGAAGAUGAGAAUUAAGCACACUUGCCCUAUUAGUACAGAGACAACAAGGGUAAGUGCCAAGUGGCUUGCACAGAAGUAUGAGUCACUGUUCAGAUCUGAUCUAACAACUGGCAUUCAGACUUUGAUUGAUGCCUGCAUGGAGAAGUAUGGUGUGGAUGUGCCCAAGUCAAUGGCAUAUAGGGCAAAGAACCUAGCUAUUGAUGCUGUGCUAGGAGACCACAAGAAGCAAUACCCUAGGUUGAAAGACUAUGCUCAGACAGUGAUGGAUACAAACCCUGGGAGUAGAGUAGUAGUCACUACUGUAACUCCAACACCCACUGAAAAAAUCCCCCAUCCAGGUCCAAGAUUCCAUGCUAUGUUCUAUUGCAUCAAUGGAGCAAGGGAGGGGUUUCUCGAGGGGUGCAGACCAUUCAUUGGUGUUGAUGGGUGCUUCAUUAAGUUAACUACUGGUGCUCAACUACUUGCUGCCACUGGUAGAGAUGGCAACAACAAUAUAUACCCACUAGCAUUUGGUAUUGUUGGGCAAGAGGACACACCUAACUGGUGUUGGUUUCUACACCAACUUAAAAUCUGCCUAGGAGGAGAAGUGGGAAGGUUUGGUCCAUAUACAAUAAUGUCAGAUAGACAAAAGGGCCUACUAAAUGCAGUGAAUGAUGUCUUUCCUAAGUGCAACCAAAGGUUCUGCCUUAGGCAUAUCUAUGCAAACUUCCAAAAUGCUGGGUUUAGGGGGGAAGAUCUGAAAAAGUGUAUGGAUAAUGCUGCCUAUGCAUAUAGUGAACACAAAUUUAACAUUGCAAUGAAUGACCUUAGAGCUGAGUGUGAGCAAGCUUGGGAGUGGCUUUGUCAAAUACCCAAGAAAACAUGGGCAAGGCAUGCAUUUGACACAAACUGCAAGACUGACCUUGUAGUUAACAAUUUAUCUGAGGUGUUCAACAAGUAUGUCCUAGAUGUUAGGAAGAAACCAAUUAGGACAAUGUGUGAUGGAAUAAAGGAUAAGCAGAUGGUGAGGUGGCAUAGGAAUAGGGAGAGUGGAAAGAAAGCUAGAUGGGACAUAACACCCCAUUAUAGUGAGAAGCUAGAGGUUGAGAAGGAGAGGGCCAAAUAUUGCAAACUAAUUCAAGCUGGUGUGGACUUGUGGCAAGUUACAAGUGGGCAGCAAACCCAUGCUGUUAACUUGCAAAUGCACACAUGUGGGUGCAGAAAAUGGGACCUAAGUGGCAUCCCAUGUAACCAUGCCAUCUCAGCAAUAAACAAGGCCAAAAUAAAACCAGAGGAUUAUGUCAGCAAGUUCUUCAAGAAAGAAAUUUAUCUGGCAGCUUAUGAACCAAUGAUCUAUCCAGUUCCUGGUGAGCAUGACUGGACAAGGACCCCUGGUCCAGACAUUGACCUACCUGCAUUUAAAGUGAAGAGAGGAAGAAAGAAAGAGAAGAGGAUCAAGGGGAAAUUGAAGUUCCAAAGCCUAAGGAGACAUCAAGAAUGGGGACUAUAA